AACGAACGCUGGCGGCAUGCCUAACACAUGCAAGUCGAACGAUGCUUUCGGGCAUAGUGGCGCACGGGUGCGUAACGCGUGGGAAUCUGCCCUUGGGUUCGGAAUAACAGUGAGAAAUUGCUGCUAAUACCGGAUGAUGUCUUCGGACCAAAGAUUUAUCGCCCAGGGAUGAGCCCGCGUAGGAUUAGCUAGUUGGUGGGGUAGUGGCCUACCAAGGCGACGAUCCUUAGCUGGUCUGAGAGGAUGAUCAGCCACACUGGGACUGAGACACGGCCCAGACUCCUACGGGAGGCAGCAGUGGGGAAUAUUGGACAAUGGGCGCAAGCCUGAUCCAGCAAUGCCGCGUGAGUGAUGAAGGCCUUAGGGUUGUAAAGCUCUUUUACCCGGGAUGAUAAUGACAGUACCGGGAGAAUAAGCUCCGGCUAACUCCGUG
rnacentral:rRNA from 1 species